rnacentral:rRNA from 1 species
GAUGAACGCUAGCGGCAGGCCUAAUACAUGCAAGUCGAACGGGAUCCAGAUCAAAGCUUGCUUUGGUCUGGUGAGAGUGGCGCACGGGUGCGUAACGCGUGAGCAACCUACCCUUGUCAGGGGGAUAGCCCGGCGAAAGUCGGAUUAAUACCGCAUGACAUCAUUGAGAGGCAUCUUUCGAUGAUCAAAGAUUUAUCGGACAAGGAUGGGCUCGCGUGACAUUAGCUCGUUGGUAAGGUAACGGCUUACCAAGGCUGCGAUGUCUAGGGGCUCUGAGAGGAGAAUCCCCCACACUGGUACUGAGACACGGACCAGACUCCUACGGGAGGCAGCAGUAAGGAAUAUUGGUCAAUGGACGGAAGUCUGAACCAGCCAUGCCGCGUGCAGGAGGACGGCCCUAUGGGUUGUAAACUGCUUUUAUACGGGAACAAACGUCGGUACGUGUACCGGUCUGAGUGUACCGUAAGAAUAAGAAUCGGCUAACUCCGUG